UAGCUCAGUGGUAGAGCGGUCGGCUGUUAACUGACUGGUCGUAGGUUCGAGGUCACAC
rnacentral:tRNA from 1 species